rnacentral:rRNA from 1 species
UACGGAGGGAGCUAGCGUUGUUCGGAGUUACUGGGCGUAAAGCGCACGUAGGCGGCCAUUCAAGUCAGAGGUGAAAGCCCAGGGCUCAACCUUGGAACUGCCUUUGAAACUAGAUAGCUAGAAUUCUGGAGAGGUCAGUGGAAUUCCGAGUGUAGAGGUGAAAUUCGUAGAUAUUCGGAAGAACACCAGUGGCGAAGGCGACUGACUGGACAGAUAUUGACGCUGAGGUGCGAAAGCGUGGGGAGCAAACAGG